rnacentral:lncRNA from 1 species
GGCGCCUCCACAGCAUCUCUGGAGCGUGGAGGGGCCCAGGUGAUGUGGUCCUGGAGGUGAUGGCAGAUUCCUGGAAGAGCGAGUUGGUGCUGGGACUUCCUUUCAUUGAAGUGGAGGCCAUGGUUCCCAAAGCGCACAGCAAGCUCUUGGAGGAAGGCCCAGGAGGGACCUUAUUUAUUGCUGUUGACACCACAUUCCCUGGGAGCCCACCUUGCACAGCGUCUCCCGCUGCCUGUGGGACCAUUCUGGUUGGAUGCUCUGCCCUCACUCAGCUCCUCUACCAGAAAGAACAGUAACCUCGCUCAGCAGAAAAUUGGCCUCUUGGAAACAACAGUGGCUGCCACUGGAUGGCUAGAAAUGCUUUUUUGCUUGGCUGUAGCUCUUUUAAUGUGAUGAACAUCAGCUGAUUUUGUAAAAAUAAUAAUAACUUUAAACCAAAUAUGAUUAAAUAGAAAAAAAUUAUCUGGAACUUUUCAGGGUUUAAAUGGUGUGUGUGUGUGUGUGUGUGUGUGUGUGUGUGUGUGUGUGUCUGUGUGUUCUAAUUUACUUUUAACCUGCUUUGCCUAUCUGGAUAUGUGUUCAUGAGAUUUUAGAAUUGGGAAAAUUUGAGUAUUGUAAGUCACCAGUUCACAUUUGAAAAGUUUUUGUGCAUAAUAUGAAACACCUUUUAUAAUUUAUUUAAGCAGUCCACUAUUGUUAGACUUUGAGUCGCUUCCAACUAAACUCCUAUUGUUGGACAUUUUGGUUGCUUCCAACUUGGCCCUAACAAACCAACGCAAAGCCAGAAUAACUGCAUGAAAAUAAAUUACAAUAAAGGAGAAGGGGAAAAGGAGGGAAACAAUCGGAGAAAUUCUGGGGGGGGGGAGGGGAGGAUAGACCAACUUGCUUAAAGAAAUAAAAGUUUUAAGAGCCCUUUUGUACGCAAAAUUUGCCAAUAUUUGCCCCCCAAAAAGGAAAAAACCCACAAAGCUAACAGUGAUUGUAGAUUAUUCAUUUUCAACCAAAUUAUUUUUAUUUUUAGAAACUGGCUCAACUAAGUUGUUUUAAACAAAAGCAUGUGCGUGUGUCCCCUUCUGGACCAACGCUUAUGUAGCCAGUUAGGGUGUUCAUGAUCAUCCAGCUAUAAACGGAAAAAAGUGUUUAUUUUAAUAUUUGUAGGAUUGCCUUCUAAAACCCAGUGCCUUUUUCUCAAAUCUCAAGCCCGGUGGUGGUCCUGAGAUGUUGCUGACUGGUCCACCGACAGCGUGACAUCUCCUUGCGUCUCCUCCUCAGCCCCGUCUCCUCCACAUUGAUCACCAGUCCCACUGUGACCUGUGUAGAAGGGGUGAGAAGGGUAGUUGUCUGGGUUCCAGCAUUCAAAAUGUUGCCUGGUACAUGGGAGAAAUAGAAAGCCACUCUGAAAAUAAAUUGUUUCCUCCUGCCCCCAAUCCAUCCUCAAAAUAGUAAGAGGAUGCUUAGUAUUUUUCAAAUGCUUCAAUUUUUCAUAUUUUCAGCCACCAGAGGCCAUGGUCCUAGCACCCACCACAUUGGUCUUGACUAUUACAAGCCUUAACCUGUCCUCCUCCAGUCUUCUGAGGACACAGAUCCAUCGGACCUAUUGUCGGUUCAGACUAAGAAAUUAAAACAAGACUCAGGUGCAGAGAUUUGUCCGUAAAGUCACUAUUUCCAAGGGUCCCAUUUCCAAGGGAGGCAGAUAGACUUCUGGCACCAAAAGUUGCUUAUCUGGUUCCUUAGAGCUGCAACAUUAAAUUCACUCCCAGGUAUGAAUCAAACCGUCAGGCAUUCUUUCUAUCUGCUGCCAGGAACAAAGGUGAAAACCAGCUCAGGUGAGUUCCUCAGAAUAUACUCUAUCCUUCAAGAGAACUACCGCCUGUCUUACCUCUUCCCUAGACAGCUAU